ACUAGUAGAGUGGCGCACGGGUGAGUAACGCGUAGAUAACCUGUCCUUAUGUCUGGGAUACCCCACCGAAAGGUGGACUAAUACCGGAUGUUCUUGUUUUUCAUAAGCUUUACAAGAAAAGGUGGCCUCUGAUUUAAGCUACUGCAUGAGGAGGGGUCUGCGUACCAUUAGCUAGUUGGUGGGGUAAGAGCCUACCAAGGCUUCGAUGGUUAGCGGGUCUGAGAGGAUGAUCCGUCACACUGGCACUGAAACACGGGCCAGACUCCUACGGGAGGCAGCAGUGAGGAAUAUUGCGCAAUGGGGGAAACCCUGACGCAGCGACGCCGCGUGAGUGAGGAAGGCUUUCGGGUCGUAAAGCUCUGUCAAAAGGGAAGAAAUGUAUAUAAGCUAAUACCUUGUAUAUUUGACGGUACCUUUAAAGGAAGCACCGGCUAACUCCGUGCCAGCAGCCGCGGUAAUACGGAGGGUGCAAGCGUUGUUCGGAAUUACUGGGCGUAAAGGGCGCGCAGGCGGCCAAAUAAGUCAGAUGUGAAAGCCCACGGCUUAACCGUGGAAGUGCAUUUGAAACUGUUUGGCUUGAGUAUCAGAGGGGAAAGUGGAAUUCCUGGUGUAGAGGUGAAAUUCGUAGAUAUCAGGAGGAAUACCAGUGGCGAAGGCGACUUUCUGGCUGAAUACUGACGCUGAGGCGCGAAAGCGUGGGGAGCAAACAGGAUUAGAUACCCUGGUAGUCCACGCCGUAAACGAUGUCAACUAGGUGUAGGGGGUGUUGAUCCCUUCUGUGCCGCAGCUAACGCAUUAAGUUGACCGCCUGGGGAGUACGGUCGCAAGAUUAAAACUCAAAGAAAUUGACGGGGGCCCGCACAAGCGGUGGAGUAUGUGGU
rnacentral:rRNA from 1 species